rnacentral:rRNA from 1 species
GAGUUUGAUCCUGGUUCAGGAUGAACGCUAGCGAUAGGCUUAACACAUGCAAGUCGAGGGGCAUCACGAGGUAGCAAUACUUUGGUGGCGACCGGCGUACGGGUGCGUAACACGUAUGCAACCUUCCUGUAAGUGUGGGAUAGCCUCCUGAAAGGGAGAUUAAUACCUCAUGAUAUGUAUUUGCUGCAUGACAUUUACAUUAAACAUUUAUGGCUUACAGAUGGGCAUGCGUUCCAUUAGGCAGUUGGUGUGGUAACGGCUCACCAAACCUACGAUGGAUAGGGGUUCUGAGAGGAAGGUCCCCCACACUGGAACUGAGACACGGUCCAGACUCCUACGGGAGGCAGCAGUGAGGAAUAUUGGUCAAUGGGCGCGAGCCUGAACCAGCCACGUCGCGUGAAGGAUGACGGCCUUAUGGGUUGUAAACUUCUUUUACAGGGGAAUAAAGUGAGUCACGUGUGAUUUUUUGCAUGUACCCUGUGAAUAAGCAUCGGCUAACUCCGUGCCAGCAGCCGCGGUAAUACGGAGGAUGCGAGCGUUAUCCGGAUUUAUUGGGUUUAAAGGGUGCGUAGGCGGGAUAUUAAGUCAGCGGUGAAAGUUUUCGGCUCAACCUUAAAAUUGCCGUUGAAACUGUUAUUCUUGAGUGCAGUAGAGGUAGGCGGGAAUUCGUUGUGUAGCGGUGAAAUGCGUAGAUAUAACGA